CGGGGGCUAUCUGCAGUCGAGCGGAUUGAUGGGAGCUUGCUCCCUGAUAUCAGCGGCGGACGGGUGAGUAACACGUGGGUAACCUGCCUGUAAGACUGGGAUAACUCCGGGAAACCGGGGCUAAUACCGGAUAACUCAUUUCCUCGCAUGAGGAAAUGUUGAAAGGUGGCUUCGGCUAUCACUUACAGAUGGACCCGCGGCGCAUUAGCUAGUUGGUGAGGUAACGGCUCACCAAGGCAACGAUGCGUAGCCGACCUGAGAGGGUGAUCGGCCACACUGGGACUGAAACACGGCCCAGACUCCUACGGGAGGCAGCAGUAGGGAAUCUUCCGCAAUGGACGAAAGUCUGACGGAGCAACGCCGCGUGAGUGAUGAAGGUUUUCGGAUCGUAAAGCUCUGUUGUUAGGGAAGAACAAGUGCCGUUCGAAUAGGGCGGCACCUUGACGGUACCUAACCAGAAAGCCACGGCUAACUACGUGCCAGCAGCCGCGGUAAUACGUAGGUGGCAAGCGUUGUCCGGAAUUAUUGGGCGUAAAGCGCGCGCAGGUGGUUCCUUAAGUCUGAUGUGAAAGCCCACGGCUCAACCGUGGAGGGUCAUUGGAAACUGGGGAACUUGAGUGCAGAAGAGGAAAGUGGAAUUCCAAGUGUAGCGGUGAAAUGCGUAGAUAUUUGGAGGAACACCAGUGGCGAAGGCGACUUUCUGGUCUGUAACUGACACUGAGGCGCGAAAGCGUGGGGAGCAAACAGGAUUAGAUACCCUGGUAGUCCACGCCGUAAACGAUGAGUGCUAAGUGUUAGGGGGUUUCCGCCCCUUAGUGCUGCAGCUAACGCAUUAAGCACUCCGCCUGGGAGUACGGUCGCAAGACUGAACUCAAAGGAAAUGACGGGGGCCCGCACAAGCGUGGAGCAUGUGUUUAAUUCGAAGCACGCGAAGAACCUUACCAGGUCUUGACAUCCUCUGACACCC
rnacentral:rRNA from 1 species